CCUACGGGUGACAGCAGUGAGGAAUAUUGGUCAAUGGGAGAGAUCCUGAACCAGCCAAGCCGCGUGAGGGAAGACGGCCCUAUGGGUUGUAAACCUCUUUUGUCGGAGAACAAAACCCGGGACGUGUCCCGGACUGCGUGUAUCCGAAGAAAAAGCAUCGGCUAACUCCGUGCCAGUAGCCGCGGUCAUAUGGAGGAUGAGAGCGUUAUCCGGAUUUACUGGGUGUAAAGGGCGUGCAGCCGGAGAGGCAAGUCAGAUGUGAAAUCCGCGGGCUCAACUCGCGAACUGCAUUUGAAACUGCUUCCCUUGAGUAUCGGAGAGGUAAUCGGAAUUCCUAGUGUAGCGGUGAAAUGCGUAGAUAUUAGGAAGAACACCAGUGGCGAAGGCGGAUUACUGGACGACAACUGACGGUGAGGCGCGAAAGCGUGGGGAGCAAACAGGAUUAGAUACCCCGGUAGUC
rnacentral:rRNA from 1 species